rnacentral:pre_miRNA from 1 species
AAAAAGACAAACUCUGUUUCCGUGCCUAACGUUUAACCGUCCGUUUUAUUUAAAAAAAAUAAAAAAAUUAAAAAGACAAAUCACGCAUAAAAUAUUAAUCAUGUUUUAUCAUCUAACAACAAUGAAAAUACGAAUUAUAAAAAAAUUUCAUAUAAGACGGACAGUCAAAGUUGGACACGCAAACCCAGGGUUUGCCUUUUU